rnacentral:rRNA from 1 species
GCACAAGCAGCGGAGCGUGUGGUUUAAUUCGAUGCUACACGAAGAACCUUACCAGGGUUUGACAUGCAAGUGGUAGGAAACCGAAAGGCGACCGACCUUCGGGGAGCUUGCACAGGUGCUGCAUGGCUGUCGUCAGCUCGUGUCGUGAGAUGUUCGGUUAAGUCCGCUAACGAGCGCAACCCUCGCUGUGUGUUACAAGUGUCACACGGGUACUGCCGGUCUUAAGCCGGAGGAAGGUGGGGAUGACGUCAAGUCAGCAUGGCCUUUAUGUCCUGGGCUACACACACGCUACAAUGGCCAACACAAUAGGUUGCUAAGCCGCGAGGUGGAGCCAAUCCUCAAAGUUGGUCUCAGUUCAGAUUGCAGGCUGCAACCCGCCUGCAUGAAGAUGGAGUUGCUAGUAACCGCAGGUCAGCUAUACUGCGGUGAAUACGUUCCCGGGGCUU